rnacentral:rRNA from 1 species
AGCAGCCGCGGUAAUUCCAGCUCCAAUAGCGUAUAUUAAAGUUGUUGCAGUUAAAAAGCUCGUAGUUGAAUUUCGGGAGCCGCGGGUCGGUUGGGCUUAACUGUCCAUCACUGGCUCCGCGGGUCUCUUACCUUCUGGCGAGGUCAGAUGUCAUUUAUUUGGUGUCUGGCGGAACCAGGACCAUUACCUUGAAAAAUUAGAGUGUUUAAAGCAGGCUUUAUCGUCUGAAUACAUUAGCAUGGAAUAAUAAAAUAGGACGGCUAAGGGUUCUAUUUUGUUGGUUUCUAGGACCACCGUAAUGAUUAAUAGGGAUAGUUGGGGGCAUUAGUAUUCAAUUGUCGGAGGUGAAAUUCUUGGAUUUAUUGAAGACUAACUACUGCGAAAGCAUUUGCCAAGGAUGUUUUCAUUAAUCAAGAACGAAAGUUAGGGGAUCGAAGACGAUCAGAUACC